rnacentral:tRNA from 1 species
GUCACUUUGCCGGAGUGGUUAACGGGAUGCCCUGCUAAGGCAUUGCUCUUUGAGCGCGUGUGUUCGAAUCGCACAGGUGACG